GACGAACGCUGGCGGCGUGCUUAACACAUGCAAGUCGAACGGAAAGGCCUCUUUCGGGUGGUACUCGAGAGGGGAACGGGUGAGUAACACGUGAGUACCCUGACCUCGACUCUGAGAUAACUUACGCAAACUGGGGCUAAUACCGGCUAGGAGCACCUGCUGCAUGCAGUGGGCUGGAAAGUUUCGGCGGUUGGGGUUGGACUCGCGGCCUAUCUGCUGGUUGGUGGGGUAGUGUCUUACCAAUGCUUUGACGGGUAGCCGGCCUGAGAGGGUGACCGGCGACAUUGGGACUGAGAUACGGCCCAGACUCCUACGGGAGGCAGCAGUGGGGAAUAUUGCACAAUGGGUGGAAGCCUGAUGCAGCAACGCCGUGUGCGGGAUGACGGCCUUCGGGUUGUAAACCGCUUUCGCUCAUGACGAAGCUUUGUGUGACGGUAGUGGGUAAAGAAGCACCGGCUAACUACGUG
rnacentral:rRNA from 1 species